rnacentral:tRNA from 1 species
GCCAGUGUGGUGUAGUGGUUUGAAUGCUGGACUACAACUCUGGAGGCCAGGGUUCAAUUCCCUGCUCAGCCA